UGUAAGGUUCCUUUCGGUGAUCUACCCAGAGGAGUUAUCACCAUGCAUGUUGUGGUCCAGCCAUCUCUGGCAAAAGCAAAAACAGAGAAAAAAGUUGAUGAAGCUCCUAAAAAACCUAUAUGUUCAUGUUCGAUAAUGUGAUCACUGAUUACUGAGAAUACAAUGGUCGUCCCGAGUUAAUCUGCCGAGAUUGCCUCAGAGGUGCGGUUGCUGGGAUCUCUCAGGGGGCAAGGUCAUGGAAAUGCGUAGCUGGAAAGACAAUAAUAUGUAGAAUAGUCCCAACCCUUAUUGUUAGAUGUUCGUCGGAGGGCAUUCCUGUGUAACAAUGCUUGUCUGUCUUGAUUUUCCUUUUGUUUCAUAAAAUUGGUGUUUGAUGUAUCUU